ACAAAGUGACAGGUGGUGCAUGGUUGUCGUCAGCUCGUGUCGUGAGAUGUUGGGUUAAGUCCCGCAACGAGCGCAACCCUUAAGCUUAGUUGCCAUCAUUAAGUUGGGCACUCUAGGUUGACUGCCGGUGACAAACCGGAGGAAGGUGGGGAUGACGUCAAAUCAUCAUGCCCCUUAUGAUUUGGGCUACACACGUGCUACAAUGGACAAUACAAAGGGCAGCUAAACCGCGGGGUCAUGCAAAUCCCAUAAAGUUGUUCUCAGUUCGGAUUGUAGUCUGCAACUCGACUACAUGAAGCUGGAAUCGCUAGUAAUCGUAGAUCAGCAUGCUACGGUGAAUACGUUCCCGGGUCUUGUACACACCGCCCGUCACACCACGAGAGUUUGUAACACCCGAAGCCGGUGGAGUAACCAUUUAUGGAGCUAGCCGUCGAAGGUGGGACAAAUGAUUGGGGUGAAGUCGUAACAAGGUAGCCGUAUCGGAAGGUGCGGCUGGAUCACCUC
rnacentral:rRNA from 1 species